AAACUUUUUAAAUGGGCUAUCCUUAACGCUCUUCAUUGUGAACGCUGACUUUGAAGAAGCGAAAGCACCAAAUGCUGAUUUCUCUUCUUUUGGUUCAGAGGAGGCGGUUGAAACAUUGGAGAAUGGAGACGAGGCAUUAGAGAAUGAAGCAAAUUGUGAAAAGGGAGAAACACUCGCGGCAGGCUUAGCAGCCGAUUCUUUUUUGCCUGUCUCUACAGCUACGUGUCCCUCAUUUUCAUCAACAUCCUUAUUCACCUUCAAUUCUUUUUCUUCUACCUUACCUCCAGUUGAGAUACAUGGCUCCGUGUUUGAUUCCUUUUGGAUUUUAGUAGACUCAGUAAUCUCAACCUCCGGUUUUACGCCAUUGCUCUUCGUAGUCUCUUUAAAUUCCUUAACUUCAGCAUUCCCUUUAUCUUCCAGCGGUUCACUCUUCGAGACUUUAGUGGAAACCGCUGAUUCUUCUUCUGCCGGAUCGUGCUUUCGCUUUGAAGUUUCGUCUUUUGUUUCGUUCGAUUUUUCUUCUAACGCAUUUUUGGUAGAAAUGCUUUCAUCUUUAUUAUUUUCCAUUUUGCUGGUCAUUAUAUCCACUUAAAUAUUAUUUGCUUAAUCGUAUUUUCGUAAUUUUUGAUGUUGGGGGUAUUAAGUGUAGUUUGGAAUCCCGAAUCACUGAAAGCCUAAUAUAUUUCACCUAGCUAUGAGUACAUGAGGACGAAUGUGGAUUCAAUCAAACACACAGCUGUUUAAAGAUUUAAGA